CUUGCCCCAAGAAGGGCUACAGGAGUGGCUGCUGUGUCACAUAUGCCAGUAGGUGACAAAGAGGAGAGAGGCUAUGUCUACACUCAAGUGUUCUGACCUGUGACCAUCUGAAUCAUUAGUGGCCUAACAUU